rnacentral:rRNA from 1 species
GAUGAACGCUGGCGGCGUGCCUAACACAUGCAAGUCGAACGGAAAGGCCCUGCUUGCAGGGUACUGGAGUUGCCAACGGGCGAGUAACACGUGGGUGAUUUGCCCUCCACUUCGAGAUAAGCUUGUGAGACUGGGCCUAGUACCUGCCAGGUACUAUCUUGAGCCUGGUGGUUCGAAAGUGUUUUCGGUGUUGGGUGAGCUCGGGGCGUAUCCGCGUGUUGGUGGAGUAAUUGCCUACCAUGGCGGCGACGGGUAGCCGGCCUGAGAGGGUGUACGGCCACAUUGGGCCUGAGAGACGGCCAAGAGUCCUACGGGUGGCAGAAGGGGGGAAUAUUGCACAAUGGGCGCACGCCUGAUGCAGGGAGGCCGCGGGGGGGAUAAAGGCCUUCGGGUUGUAAACUCAUUUCGCUAGGGACGAAGCUUUUUGUGACGGUACCUAAAUAAGAAGCACCGGCUAACUACGUG